GACGAACGCUGGCGGCGUGCUUAACACAUGCAAGUCGAGCGGAAAGGCUCCUUCGGGGGUACUCGAGCGGCGAACGGGUGAGUAACACGUGAGUAAUCUGCCCUGCGCUCUGGGAUAGCCACCGGAAACGGUGAUUAAUACCGGAUAUGACCGCUACACGCAUGUGUUGGGGGUGGAAAGUUUUUCGGCGCAGGAUGUGCUCGCGGCCUAUCAGCUUGUUGGUGAGGUAGUGGCUCACCAAGGCUUUGACGGGUAGCCGGCCUGAGAGGGUGACCGGUCACACUGGGACUGAGACACGGCCCAGACUCCUACGGGAGGCAGCAGUGGGGAAUAUUGGACAAUGGGCGGAAGCCUGAUCCAGCAACGCCGCGUGAGGGAUGACGGCCUUCGGGUUGUAAACCUCUUUCAGUACCGACGAAGCGAAAGUGACGGUAGGUACAGAAGAAGGACCGGCCAACUACGUGCCAGCAGCCGCAGUAAUAC
rnacentral:rRNA from 1 species